rnacentral:lncRNA from 1 species
AUAUAUAUAUAUAUCUUCUUUUCAGUACAUGUACUUGUAACGAUAUCCAUUCUUGCGAAACAACGAGAUGCGCUUCUAUCCCUGACGAGGCCCUCGUGCCAAAUUGAGGAUAGGGUUGCAUCUUGGGCGUGACAGAGGUCCCCCUCCACCUAAAGGUUAUCCUGUGUUUGAAUUAAAACAAUUUCCAAACACUUUUAAAUAUGCUUAUCUUGAUGAGAAAAAGAUAUAUCAUGUUAUUAUUAGUGCUACCCUUUCAGAACAUGAAGAACAAAGAUUAUUCAAAGUUCUAAGGAAGCACCGAGCUGCUAUUGGAUAUACUCUUGAUGAUCUUAAGGGCAUUAGCCCCACUCUAUGUCAGUACAAGAUUAAUAUGGAACCUGAUGCUAAACCCGUUGUUGAUCACCAAUGUUGGUUAAAUCCGAAGAUGAAAGAAGUGGUAAGAACGGAAAUACUGAAAAUUAUGGAAGCAGGUAUAAUCUAUCUGAAAGUGCAUGCUAUCCUAUAGCUGAUAGUAGAUGGGCAAGUCAUGUUCAUUGUGUCCCUAAGAAAGGAGGUAUUACUGUUGUUCCUAAUAAUAACAAUGAACUUAUUCCACAAAGAAUUGUCACAGACUAUAGAAUGGUAAUUGAUUAUAGAAAAUUAAACAAAGCAACUAGAGAAGAUCAUUACCCUCUGCACUUUAUUGAUCAAAUGUUACAAAGACUAUCUAAGCACACAUAUUUUUUGCUUUCUUGGUGGAUAUUCUGUUUUUUCACAAAUACCUGUUUCACAACCUGAUCAAGAAAUGACCACUUUUACAUGUCCUUUUGGAACUUAUGCUUAUAGACGUAUGCCUUUUGGCUUAUGUAAUGCACCUGCUACCUUUCAAAGAUGUAUGACUGUUAUAUUCUCUGAUUUCUGUGAAAAGAUUGUAGAGGUUUUCAUGGAUGACUUUUGUGUUUAUGGGAAGUCUUUUGAUGAUUGUUUAAGCAAUCUUGAUCGAGUUUUGCAGAGAUGUGAACAAACAAAUCUUGUCUUGAAUUGGUAGAAGUCCCACUUUAUGGUUAACGAAGGUAUUGUUUUGGGCCAUAAAAUUCCUAAAAGAGGCAUUGAGGUGGACAAAGCCAAGGUUGAUGCAAUUGAGAAAAUGCCAUGUCCUAAAGAUAUCAAAGGUAUUCGUAGUUUCCUUGGUCACGCUGGUUUCUAUAGGAGGUUUAUCAAAGACUUCUCUAAAAUUUCUAGGCCUCUUACAAAUCUUUUGCAAAAGCAUAUUCCUUUUGUGUUUGAUGAUGAUUGUUCGGAAGCCUUCGAAACACUAAAGAAAGCCUUAAUUACUGCACCUAUUGUUCAACCACCUCAUUGGAACUUGCCUUUUGAGAUUAUGUGUGAUGCUAGUGAUUAUGCUGUGGGUGCUAUUCUAGGACAAAGAGUUGAUAAGAAAUUGAAUGUUAUCCAUUGUGCUCCCUACAAGAUGACUUUUGCCCAAUUAUCUUUGGUAGACCUUUCUUGAACACCGUCAAUGCCAAAAUAGAUAAAAUACCCUACUGAUUUUCUUCUUCUUGGCUGCCCACAAGAGCGUCAUGCAUACCUUCAUCCCGGCAUCUCUAUUUCGUGUGUACCUGGUAAUAGAUUUAUGACCUACUAGACCGUAUUCCCUUAAGGACCUGUGGCGGCACGAUAGGUAAGGUGACACAAAGACAAGACUCGAUCUACGGUCGACUUAGGAGGUUCAAUGUUUUCGUGCAAGGGUUAGUACCACAUAAUCUUGCUCAGAAAUUAUCUCAGGGUUACUUCCAUCACACUCCGACAUGCUUUCAAUGACCACUCUCGUUCCACGAGAUGUCAGCCCAUGGUCUUAUUUCCACCAGGACACACCUUACUCUGAGGUUGUCCGGACCAACGUAGCAUACGAGGUAUGAGGCUGUAACCACUCACCACUUGCCUCCCACAAACCUAGCAACAAAAUAUCCAUCACAUGGUCUAAUGUAAGGUAUUAUUUCAUGCAAGAUUGUUGUUAACAUAAUCUAAAAAUCAAGAAAUAGAUGCACCACCACAGACAUCACCCAAAGUUUUGCAAAUUUGAGUUCAAGAUUCUUGCCUUUGGAGUUUGAGGAGGGUAAGGUGCACCCCAAAAUCAUGGAAAAAGCCUCCUCUCUCCGAGUCCUAUUUUGAAAGUAUUUGAAUUAGCACACAAACACAAAACAACACACAAAGUUGUUUGAAUAUUUCUGAAAUAAAUAUGUAAAUAAACUAGAGGUAGGAAAAACAAUCAGUCCAUUUGAAGUUUUCUAUAAAAAGUUAGAGCCCUUUUAAGUUUUUGUCUAAUUCUGUUUUAAAACAAACACAAAAGAAAACAUUUCGGUAGUGAAUACGCUUUCCAGCAGAGAAAGCGUAUUCUGUGAUACACUACGGGCGCAGCUGCGUUAUGAAGGGAAGAAGGUGCACCCACCACGUUACGCCUUCAUUGGAGACAAGCGUGCAGACUCGGCUGUGUCAUCGGGGCCGAGGCUUGCCUCGCUAACAGGCGGGGCCCGCCUGUUAGGUUUCCUCCUUCCUCCUCUCGUGCGCAGGGGACAGGGCCAGGGUGAGUUCCGGCAACGCUCACUGGCGGCACAGGGCACCAUCCUCAAUGCUCGACCCAUCCACGAGCUCAGGAGGAUGAGCCGCACCACGUGGAGGGUAGAGGAGCGCCCCGUGGGAUCCGGCUAGGCAAGACUUUGCUCAUGGCGGACGGAGGCAUCGGCCAGGAGGGGAACUCCGGCUACGCUGGUUCCCAGGCCAAAAUUGGAUCAAGGAUGGAUUUGCGAUGGCUGAGGGAGGCUAGCUAUGGCUGCAGAGGAGCAGCCGGACUCGGGGCUGCCCAAAUUUACUCAGAGAUGGCUGACGGUGAUGCGGCCAGAGGGACGGCAAGACGAGGGGAUCUGAUCGAAUUUGCGCGAGGGGGAGCGAGCUGCCAGUCGGAGGGGACUCCUGAGACGCUCGGAGGGCUCUAGUCAGCCCUUUUAUAGCCGGGCAAUGACGGUUCCGUGGUAGCUGUGGAUAAGCACGCCUGCGACAGGCUCUGGUGAUGGUUUAGGUGCACAGGGGCGGCAACGGGGAUCAGCAGGAUUGCCAACAGUUGUAGGAUGAUUCAGAGGGAAGGACCACGGGCAGCUGGCGCGCUGGAGGAACUUGAGCUGCGCUGACCACUACAACAGCAGAGAGGACGCCGGCUCGCCUCCACGGCUAUUGCGUCACUGAGGUACUGCGUGCAUACAGGGGCGGUGACUACUGGACGGGGAGGAGCGUUGACGCGACUCUAUAUCACACCAAAAGGGCAAGGGGUGCGCGGACGCGUCGCCUCGACACACGCGCGUGCAAAACAUGUGCUCUGGGCGUCCCGAGAGCACCCACGCAAGGUGUUCGAUGCAAUGCCCAACACUGCCACACACAUCCAAGACUGCUUAGACUUACCAGGCUCGAGCUAUGGGUUAAGGCCAAUGCGAUGAACAAAUAAUUAGGGUUAGUGGAGCAACUCUGAAGUGUAGUUCAAGCUCAUGCCAAAUCUGGCCAUGCACCAAUGGUGCUUGAUGAAAUGCCAGGGGCUUCAAUUAAGCUUUUCCGCAACCCCAAAACUCUAGAUUAUACUCUCCCUAUGUGUUAGUUAAGAUGGUCAAGCUAGUUGGAAAAAAGGAAAAACUUGG